AUGGUGUCUGGAUCUCCAGAGAAUUCAAACCGCAUGCCAUUGGAUACUCUACUGAUUCCUUGAAAUGCUUUAGGUUCUCCUGAAAGAUCAAUCUGGAAAUAGGCAAAACUAACUUCUGAAAAUCCCUAUGCUUCCUAGGAAACAUCACAAAACUCCCAUCUCAGAAGGACAUUGCAAAGAGCUUCGUCAUUGAUCCUUAAAAAUGUGAAUAUUUAAAUGAAAUGCAUUUGAACUGAAAUCUACCUGAAAAUACAAAACAAAUAUCUGACUUUUUAACUGCAUUUCUUCUUUAAUCCUUUAAACAUACUGCUUUAUGAUUUACUUCUAUGUCAUCAUCUCUGGAGCCUCCUUUCCCUGCAGCUAACUCUGUACUUAUUUGUGGGUUGUACAGCAGAUCAUUUCUCAUUAUUCCUACUGCUAUUCCUUCCUUUGCAAUUACUAAAACACUUUGCCCUAGUCUCCCUGCUCUUCCCCUGUCCCUGCUUCUAGGCCAAGAUCAGCUUCCUUUCUUGCUGUAAUUAUAGCAAGGUGGUAUAGCAAGGAGAAAUUUUCUCAUGCUCUCCCUCUCACCCCAUUCAUAUAUGUAGCCCUCACAUCUCUAUAAAACAUUCCUCUGACCAGAAAUGACCUCUUCUUUCUUGACAGUCUCUUACUGUACCUGAUGUUUGGUGAAGGACAAAUAUCCCCCAAAGAGAAGCUGUGUUCUCUUGCAUAGAUAUUUAAGCAACUGCACUUUCCAGCAAAGCAUUUUUAAGAUGGUGACUGUUAGGUCAAUAAGGCAAAGAGAAGACUUUCUGGAAGAUUUGUGGAUAUCUGAAGAGGAAACAGCUUUGAAGAAAGGCAGGUACAUAUCAGGACUGCACUUUUGAUGGAGUGAUAAAGAAGCAGAAACUGCAAAUAUCUGCCCCCUGCCUCAUCUGAAAAUAACUUCACUUACCACUGCUAGGAGUACCUCAAACAGCACGCUGAGAAUAUAAACAUGCACAUGCAAACAUCAAUUGUAUUUGUAAACCUAAGUCAUUUUCUCUAGGCUGUUGGUUUUUCUUCAUUUUGUUCAGACACAGCAAAUAGAUGUGUCAGCUUUUUGUUGGUUCAGUAACAGAGAAAAAUCUCUAGAAUCCGAUUAUCCCAAUUCUUAUAUAGUCUGCAGUUAUUUAAAAGUAAGUAGUCUGGAGAUUAAGCUUUGCU